GGGUUGUGAGGUUAAGCGACUAAGCGUACACGGUGGAUGCCCUGGCAGUCAGAGGCGAUGAAGGACGUGCUAAUCUGCGAUAAGCGUCGGUAAGGUGAUAUGAACCGUUAUAACCGGCGAUUUCCGAAUGGGGAAACCCAGUGUGAUUCGUCACACUAUCAUUAACUGAAUCCAUAGGUUAAUGAGGCGAACCGGGGGAACUGAAACAUCUAAGUACCCCGAGGAAAAGAAAUCAACCGAGAUUCCCCCAGUAGCGGCGAGCGAACGGGGAGGAGCCCAGAGCCUGAAUCAGUGUGUGUGUUAGUGGAAGCGUCUGGAAAGGCGCGCGAUACAGGGUGACAGCCCCGUACACAAAAAUGCACAUGCUGUGAGCUCGAUGAGUAGGGCGGGACACGUGGUAUCCUGUCUGAAUAUGGGGGGACCAUCCUCCAAGGCUAAAUACUCCUGACUGACCGAUAGUGAACCAGUACCGUGAGGGAAAGGCGAAAAGAACCCCGGCGAGGGGAGUGAAAAAGAACCUGAAACCGUGUACGUACAAGCAGUGGGAGCACGCUUAGGCGUGUGACUGCGUACCUUUUGUAUAAUGGGUCAGCGACUUAUAUUCUGUAGCAAGGUUAACCGAAUAGGGGAGCCGAAGGGAAACCGAGUCUUAACUGGGCGUUAAGUUGCAGGGUAUAGACCCGAAACCCGGUGAUCUAGCCAUGGGCAGGUUGAAGGUUGGGUAACACUAACUGGAGGACCGAACCGACUAAUGUUGAAAAAUUAGCGGAUGACUUGUGGCUGGGGGUGAAAGGCCAAUCAAACCGGGAGAUAGCUGGUUCUCCCCGAAAGCUAUUUAGGUAGCGCCUCGUGAAUUCAUCUCCGGGGGUAGAGCACUGUUUCGGCAAGGGGGUCAUCCCGACUUACCAACCCGAUGCAAACUGCGAAUACCGGAGAAUGUUAUCACGGGAGACACACGGCGGGUGCUAACGUCCGUCGUGAAGAGGGAAACAACCCAGACCGCCAGCUAAGGUCCCAAAGUCAUGGUUAAGUGGGAAACGAUGUGGGAAGGCCCAGACAGCCAGGAUGUUGGCUUAGAAGCAGCCAUCAUUUAAAGAAAGCGUAAUAGCUCACUGGUCGAGUCGGCCUGCGCGGAAGAUGUAACGGGGCUAAACCAUGCACCGAAGCUGCGGCAGCGACGCUUAUGCGUUGUUGGGUAGGGGAGCGUUCUGUAAGCCUGCGAAGGUGUGCUGUGAGGCAUGCUGGAGGUAUCAGAAGUGCGAAUGCUGACAUAAGUAACGAUAAAGCGGGUGAAAAGCCCGCUCGCCGGAAGACCAAGGGUUCCUGUCCAACGUUAAUCGGGGCAGGGUGAGUCGACCCCUAAGGCGAGGCCGAAAGGCGUAGUCGAUGGGAAACAGGUUAAUAUUCCUGUACUUGGUGUUACUGCGAAGGGGGGACGGAGAAGGCUAUGUUGGCCGGGCGACGGUUGUCCCGGUUUAAGCGUGUAGGCUGGUUUUCCAGGCAAAUCCGGAAAACUAAGGCUGAGGCGUGAUGACGAGGCACUACGGUGCUGAAGCAACAAAUGCCCUGCUUCCAGGAAAAGCCUCUAAGCAUCAGGUAACAUCAAAUCGUACCCCAAACCGACACAGGUGGUCAGGUAGAGAAUACCAAGGCGCUUGAGAGAACUCGGGUGAAGGAACUAGGCAAAAUGGUGCCGUAACUUCGGGAGAAGGCACGCUGAUAUGUAGGUGAAGUCCCUCGCGGAUGGAGCUGAAAUCAGUCGAAGAUACCAGCUGGCUGCAACUGUUUAUUAAAAACACAGCACUGUGCAAACACGAAAGUGGACGUAUACGGUGUGACGCCUGCCCGGUGCCGGAAGGUUAAUUGAUGGGGUUAGCGCAAGCGAAGCUCUUGAUCGAAGCCCCGGUAAACGGCGGCCGUAACUAUAACGGUCCUAAGGUAGCGAAAUUCCUUGUCGGGUAAGUUCCGACCUGCACGAAUGGCGUAAUGAUGGCCAGGCUGUCUCCACCCGAGACUCAGUGAAAUUGAACUCGCUGUGAAGAUGCAGUGUACCCGCGGCAAGACGGAAAGACCCCGUGAACCUUUACUAUAGCUUGACACUGAACAUUGAGCCUUGAUGUGUAGGAUAGGUGGGAGGCUUGGAAGUGUGGACGCCAGUCUGCAUGGAGCCGACCUUGAAAUACCACCCUUUAAUGUUUGAUGUUCUAACGUUGACCCGUGAUCCGGGUUGCGGACAGUGUCUGGUGGGUAGUUUGACUGGGGCGGUCUCCUCCUAAAGAGUAACGGAGGAGCACGAAGGUUGGCUAAUCCUGGUCGGACAUCAGGAGGUUAGUGCAAUGGCAUAAGCCAGCUUGACUGCGAGCGUGACGGCGCGAGCAGGUGCGAAAGCAGGUCAUAGUGAUCCGGUGGUUCUGAAUGGAAGGGCCAUCGCUCAACGGAUAAAAGGUACUCCGGGGAUAACAGGCUGAUACCGCCCAAGAGUUCAUAUCGACGGCGGUGUUUGGCACCUCGAUGUCGGCUCAUCACAUCCUGGGGCUGAAGUAGGUCCCAAGGGUAUGGCUGUUCGCCAUUUAAAGUGGUACGCGAGCUGGGUUUAGAACGUCGUGAGACAGUUCGGUCCCUAUCUGCCGUGGGCGCUGGAGAACUGAGGGGGGCUGCUCCUAGUACGAGAGGACCGGAGUGGACGCAUCACUGGUGUUCGGGUUGUCAUGCCAAUGGCACUGCCCGGUAGCUAAAUGCGGAAGAGAUAAGUGCUGAAAGCAUCUAAGCACGAAACUUGCCCCGAGAUGAGUUCUCCCUGACUCCUUGAGAGUCCUGAAGGAACGUUGAAGACGACGACGUUGAUAGGCCGGGUGUGUAAGCGCAGCGAUGCGUUGAGCUAACCGGUACUAAUGAACCGUGAGGCUUAACCUUACAACGCCGAAGGUGUUU
rnacentral:rRNA from 1 species